rnacentral:rRNA from 1 species
AGCAGCCGCGGUAAUUCCAGCUCCAAUAGCGUAUAUUAAAGUUGCUGCAGUUAAAAAGCUCGUAGUUGAAUUUCGGGACCAUCAUGUCGGUCGUGCCUCGGUACGUACUGGCAUUGUUGGUUUCUCCCUUCUGACGAACCAUGAUGUCAUUUAUUUGGUGUUGUGGGGAAUCAGGACUGUUACUUUGAAAAAUUAGAGUGUUUAAAGCAGGCUCACGCUUGAAUACAUUAGCAUGGAAUAAUGAAAUAGGACGUUUGAUUCUAUUUUGUUGGUUUCUAGGAUCGACGUAAUGAUUAAUAGGGAUAGUUGGGGGCAUUAGUAUUCAAUUGUCAGAGGUGAAAUUCUUGGAUUUAUUGAAGACUAACUACUGCGAAAGCAUUUGCCAAGGAUGUUUUCAUUAAUCAAGAACGAAAGUUAGGGGAUCGAAGACGAUCAGAUACCGUCGUAGUCUUAACCAUAAACUAUGCCGACUAGGGAUCGGAUGAUGUUAAUUUUUAANGACUC